UGCGCCCACCCUCUCGUCGUGAUCCUGGAGCAGCUUGCGCCCGACGUCGGGGAGGGCAGGGGUGAGGCCGCGGGAAAGGGGGGAGCGCGGCCGGGGCUCGGAGCUGGUGCGCCUGAUGGUGCUCCUCGGGGAGUCGUUCGUCACGUCGUCUCGUCCUGGUGCAGGUCGUGCCCGUGCAGAGGGCCGCGUGCUCGCCCGGGCUGAGCACCGCGUCGACGCCCUGGACAACACGAACGCUCGUCCGGGGCUCGGAGUUGCUGCGCCUGGCGCCGUGCCUGACGUCCGCGGUGUGUGCGUGUGUGAGUGCAUGGGCAUGUACGCGUCGCGCGCCCUACCGUUUUGGGCGUGCACACGUGUUGAACAGAAACUAAUAUCCGUUUGUGACCGUCUUUUUCAGGAGUAUGACUUGCUGGUCGUUGGACCCGAUGCGUCCUCGACUCCCAUUGUUUUUCCCCCCACGCCGCCGCCCACCCCACCACCUCCACCGAGCCCUGAGCUUGUACUUCAACAAGAAGUUGCCAGCCCACCGCCUCCACCGCCACCGAGCCCGGAGCUUGUACUUCAAGAAGAUGCCCCUGCGGUCGACCCGGCUCCUGUGCACCACGAACUUCCCCCUGCGGCCGAGCCGGCCGUUGAGGCGUGUGUGAGGGUGCGAACAGCACCCGUGCCACCCCCCACCCCCGCGGCCCGGCCGGCCGCAGCAAGUGCAGCGCCGGUGCCGGUACCGGCCAUGUACGCCUUCCUACCAGCCCCAGGCCAGCUGGAGGAGGUCGUGGCGGCCGUCGCCCCUCCACAGGCGCCUGCCCAGGCCCAGUUGAUUGAUGCACUGCCGAUGCGCGGGCGAGGCGGCCGAGGUGGGCGAGGACGCGGAGCCCGGGGCCGUGGCCAGCCACAUCCUGGCGGACCUCAAGGCCACCAUGGCGGACCCCGGGGCGGACCCCGAGGCGGACCACGAGGUGGAGGACACCCUGGCGGAGCCCGUGGAGGACCCCGUGGCCGAGGGCAGCUCCACCAU